rnacentral:rRNA from 1 species
UACGAAGGGAGCUAGCGUUGUUCGGAAUCACUGGGCGUAAAGCGCACGUAGGCGGAUUUGUCAGUCAGGGGUGAAAUCCCGGGGCUCAACCUCGGAACUGCCUUUGAUACAGCAAGUCUUGAGUUCGAGAGAGGUGGGUGGAAUUCCUAGUGUAGAGGUGAAAUUCGUAGAUAUUAGGAAGAACACCGGUGGCGAAGGCGGCGACCUGGGCAGUAACUGACGCUGAGACGCGAAAGCGUGGGUAGCAAACAGG